CUGCAGUACUUCUGAUUGUCAUUAAAUUAACAAACCUCUUCCUUCCUUCCUCCAGCUGUAGUUUUUGAUAUAUGUCCAUGCUGCUAAAAGAGACCAGACUAAGAAACCAGCCACAAGAUUAAAAUCCAUGGCCCAGGAGUCAUGCUGAUGGAGGCUACAAGACUCCAAUCCUCCUUCAACUGAUUUCAAGUUCUUUGAGAGAAUAAAAACUGAAGAUGAGAAGUCUCAGAAAUGCAAGUGAAAGCAGAAUAUUUUCAAGCC
rnacentral:lncRNA from 1 species